AGAGUUUGAUCCUGGCUCAGGACGAACGCUGGCGGCGUGCUUAACACAUGCAAGUCGAACGGUAAGGCCCUUCGGGGUACACGAGUGGCGAACAGGUGAGUAACACGUGGGUAAUCUGCCCUGCACAUCGGGAUAAGCCUGGGAAACUGGGUCUAAUACCGAAUAGGACCACAGGACACAUGUCCUGUGGUGGAAAGCUUUUGCGGUGUGGGAUGGGCCCGCGGCCUAUCAGCUUGUUGGUGGGGUGAUGGCCUACCAAGGCGACGACGGGUAGCCGGCCUGAGAGGGUGUCCGGCCACACUGGGACUGAGAUACGGCCCAGACUCCUACGGGAGGCAGCAGUGGGGAAUAUUGCACAAUGGGCGAAAGCCUGAUGCAGCGACGCCGCGUGGGGGAUGACGGCCUUCGGGUUGUAAACCUCUUUCACCAUCGACGAAGGUCCGGGUUUUCUCGGGCUGACGGUAGGUGGAGAAGAAGCACCGGCCAACUACGUGCCAGCAGCCGCGGUAAUACGUAGGGUGCGAGCGUUGUCCGGAAUUACUGGGCGUAAAGAGCUCGUAGGUGGUUUGUCGCGUUGUUCGUGAAAUCUCACGGCUUAACUGUGAGCGUGCGGGCGAUACGGGCAGACUUGAGUACUGCAGGGGAGACUGGAAUUCCUGGUGUAGCGGUGGAAUGCGCAGAUAUCAGGAGGAACACCGGUGGCGAAGGCGGGUCUCUGGGCAGUAACUGACGCUGAGGAGCGAAAGCGUGGGGAGCGAACAGGAUUAGAUACCCUGGUAGUCC
rnacentral:rRNA from 1 species